rnacentral:rRNA from 1 species
GUGCCAGCAGCCGCGGUAAGACGAACCGUGCGAACGUUAUUCGGAAUCACUGGGCUUAAGGCGCGUGUAGGCGGGCCGCCACGUCGGGCGCUGAAAUCCCCCGGCUCAACCGGGGAACGGGCACCGAUACGAGCGGCCUGGAGGGGAGUAGGGGGACCUGGAACUUCCGGUGGAGCGGUGAAAUGCGUUGAGAUCGGAAGGAACGCCCGUGGCGAAAGCGAGGUCCUGGGCUCCUGCUGACGCUGAGACGCGAAAGCCAGGGGAGCGAACGGGAUUAGAUACCCCCGUAGUCC